rnacentral:rRNA from 1 species
CCUACGGGUGGCAGCAGUAGGGAAUCUUCCACAAUGGGCGAAAGCCUGAACCAGCCAAGUCGCGUGAGGGAUUAAGGCCCUGCGGGUCGUAAACCUCUUUUGCCGGGGAGCAGAGGUCCGGACGUGUCCGGGCCGGGAGAGUACCCGGAGAAAAAGCAUCGGCUAACUCCGUGCCAGCAGCCGCGGUAAUACGGAGGAUGCGAGCGUUAUCCGGAUUUAUUGGGUUUAAGGGGUGCGUAGGCGGGCAUUUAAGCCGGCGGUCAAAUGUCGGGGCUCAACCCCGGCCUGCCGUCGGAACUGGGUGCCUUGAGUGGGCGAGAAGUAUGCGGAAUGCGUGGUGUAGCGGUGAAAUGCAUAGAUAUCACGCAGAACCCCGAUUGCGAAGGCAGCAUACCGGCGCCCUACUGACGCUGAGGCACGAAAGUGCGGGUAUCGAACAGGAUUAGAUACCCCUGUAGUC